AUGGAGGGUAAGAGGAUGCUCAUUAGCACUACCACUCUGAAGGUGAUCAUGUGCCUGCUCAUCCUGAGCCUCGCCGUCAACUCGACCACCGCAGAUUGCGGCUGCUGCAUAAGCUUCGCCGCAAAAGCAUGUUGUUCUAGUUGUAUUUUUGCGGGUGGCUCUGACUUUGCCUGCAAGAACACUUGUUGUUUCCCGUGUCUUCUUGAAGAUUCUGUGGUUGCUAAGAUGGAUGAAAUGGGAGUGGCUCCGAAGAUGGAAGGACUGUACUAA
rnacentral:rRNA from 1 species